AAAUUAAUUGAACUUUUGCCGUCUGCACAGUUCACUCUGCACAAGCGAACCACCGCUUCGAAUUCCGUGCUUUCCGAAACCCAACAUUCUCUCUGUUCCCUGUUUCGCUCUUGCUUACUUCCCCACAAUGCCCCCACAAACCCGGAGAACGUCGUUCCCGAAAGUCGUGAUCGAGCGAGACACCGACUCCGAAGAAAGUUCGUCUGACGAGGACGAAAUCGAUGAAGAAGACGACGUCGUAGGAGAAGAGGAAGUAACUGAACCGAAGGCUGAUGAGGAAGAAGGAGAAGAAGAGCAAGAGAAAUCAGUGACCAAGAAAAAAACGCCUAUUACUAUUAGUCUCAAAAAAGUCUGCAAGGUAAGCAAGCUCCCUGGGAAUUGCUGUUUCUAAGGUGUUACUUCACUAAUAACUCAUAAAUUUUUUUUUUUUUGGUUGCGAUGAUUUUUGGCCAUUCAAGGGCACACCACGAUGACUUGCCCUCACAGAGUGGCUACUGAGUACGGGGUUGUCCCAGCACCUCGGAGAAACACCCAUAGCUCAUUGGAUUAUGUGUUCCAGCGCCAGCUUAGGCCUCAUAUUCCUAAAAUGAAACCAGAAUUUGUCAUUCCAGAUCAAGUAAACUGUGCGGUUAUAAGAUACCAUAGUAGACGAGUAACAUGCUUGGAGUUCCAUCCUACAAAUGAUAACAUUCUCCUAUCUGGUGAUAAGAAAGGACAACUUGGAGUUUGGGAUUUUUGCAAGGUAUAUGAGAAGACUGUCUACAGUGAAAUACAUGGUUGUAUACUGAACAACAUGAAGUUAAAUCCAAGAAAUGAUGGAACAGUAUAUACUGGUUCUUCUGAUGGGACAGCUUGUUGCGUAGAUUUGGAGACUGGAAUAUCAUUAUCAUUGAUGAACCUUAAUCCUAAUGGCUGGCAGGGUCCAAGCACUUGGAGGAUGCUUUAUGGGCUGGACAUAAAUUUGGACAAAGGAGUCGUACUUGUUGCAGAUAACUUUGGCUGUCUGUAUACGGUUGAUAUGCGCUCCAACAAUGUGACAGGGAAGCCUAUUCUCAUUCAUAAGAAAGGAAGCAAAGUUGUUGGUCUGCACUGUAAUCCCCUUCAACCAGAUCUUCUCUUAAGUUGUGGGAAUGAUCACUUUGCUCGUAUAUGGGAUAUGCGGCAGUUGGAGACUGGAUCCUCUCUUGUUGAUCUACCACACAAACGAGUUGUUAACUCAGCAUAUUUUUCACCACUUACUGGUAGUAAAAUACUCACUACAUCACAGGAUAACCGGAUUCGUGUGUGGGAUUCCAUCUUUGGAAGCCUUGAUUCUCCAAGUCGAGAGAUUGUGCAUAGUCAUGAUUUUAAUCGACAUCUGACAGCUUUUCGGGCUGAAUGGGAUCCAAAGGACCAAUCGGAGUCUCUUGUUGUUAUUGGACGUUACAUAAGUGAAAACUAUAAUGGAGCUGCUCUGCAUCCUAUUGAUUUUAUAGACAUCAGCACAGGGCAGUUAGUUGCAGAGAUCAUGGAUCCAAACAUUACAACUAUCAGUCCUGUGAACAAGUUGCAUCCACGCGAUGAUAUUUUGGCAUCUGGUAGUUCAAGGUCUCUCUUUAUUUGGAGACCAAAGGAGAAGCAUGAAAUUGAGAAGCCUAUAGAUGAAAGGAAGAUUGUUCUCUGCGGAAAGGCCGAGAAGAAAGCCAAAAGAAAAUUUGGAGAUGAAAGUGAUUGUGAUUCUGAUGAUGAUGGAUUCACCACCAAAGGUAAGACUGUUAAGUCUAAGCAACCUUAUCUAGAUUCAACUUCAACUUCUAAAUCAAAAUCAAAAUCAAAAUCAUCUAAGAAGCACUAGCUGUUUGGCAAAUUCCUCUGGGGAACCACUGAAUUUGGGUGAAAGGAAAACAAGAAAGCAACUUGUGUCGACUUUUGUCUGCUAAUCUUGUAUAGGCUGCCAUUUCUUCCCGUCGCACUCCUUUGAUGUUUUUCUUUCCCUCCUCGGGUUCCCCUGGCUCUUCUCGUGUUUUAAGUAUUAUUAUUAGCCCUGAGCAGGAUGUAAUAUUUCAAAUUUUUUGUUUUUGUAAUUCUCCCCUGCUCUGCUCUUGACUAACCGUAGGUAGGUUGCUUUUGUUUGCUCUCCAGCUUUUCUGUAAGUCGUGUGAAUAUCAAAGUGUAAUUAAUCCUUUUUGAAUGUGAUCUUUUGAUACGGAACGUUGCUGUCUUGGAUGGAUAGUUAAAAUUCCCUCUACUGUAAUCCUGAGGUGUACGGUUAUUCUGAGGCUU